ensembl:lncRNA novel transcript
GCUUCUAGUUCCGGGCGCUUUGCCGGGCGUUAAUGGCGGCCAACAUCGCCGGUGCUGCGGCUUUCUCCCUAAAGUGUCACAGGAGCUAAGGGCGCUGCUUAACGAACUGCAGAAGACGCAGUUUCCCUUCCCAGACUCUGAUAACGACCAUUCUAUUCUCUAUCUCCAUGGUAUCUACUAUUUUACCUCCCAUAUGGUCUUGCUGUGUUGCCUAGGCUGGGGUGCAGUGGCACGAUCUCAGCUUACUUCAACUUCCGCCUCCCAGGUUCAAGCGAUUCUCCUGCCUCAACCUCCCGAGUAGCUGGUAUUACAGGGUCCCAGUAACUUUACCAGUGUCUGUAUUAGAUGAACCGGACGUUGAAAAUUCCACGCCACUGCAAGACUUUGUUUUCACAUCCAGUUUCACCAACCCAAAACCAAAUCCUUUGUUGAAAAUAUCUCUGGCAGCUUUGCCAAGGUCAGCAUAUGAUGGAGGAAUACACAUUGGACGCGCGCAAGUCUGUCCGUGGGUCGCCAUGGCGAGGCCGCGGGAAGAGGGGAAUCUGGUGGUCUCCUGAGCGGGGCCGCCGCCACCGCUCCGCUAGCUGCUGAAGCCGCUUGGCACGCUCGCGGUCGGGCUGCAGCUGCAGCAGCUGGAGGGCGAAGUGAAGGGCUUUCUUAGACUUUUUGUUUACAUGGUUUAUUUUUUCUUCCAUUUACAAUCAACCUCUCUGUGCCAUUUAUUUAUUUAUAAUUGACAAAUAAUAAUUGUAUAUAUUUAUGGUGUACAACCUGAUGUUUUGAAAUAUGUAUACACUGUGGAAUAGCUCAAUCAAGCUAAUUAGUGUAUGUAUUACCUCACAUAUUUAUCAUUUAUUUGUGGUGACAGCACUUAAAAUUUACUCUCUUAGCAAUCGUCAAGCAUACAAUACAUUUUAUUAACCAUGGUCACCAUAUGGUGCAAUAGAUCUCUUGAACUUAUUCCUCUUGCCUAACUGAUAUUUUGCAACCUUUGACCAACCUCUCUUAAUUUGCCUCUCAUUCCCCCAGCCUCUGGUAACCACUAUUCUACUCUGCUUCUGAGUUAAAUUUUUUGAGAUUUCACAUAUAAGUGAGAUCAUAUGGUAUUUGUUUGUAAAAGGAGUCUAACAAGCUAUUGGCUUAAUGAAAUUACAUUAAACUGGCUUAAUCAAAAUACAGAAUUUGUUGACAUGUGGCUGAAAGGUUUAGGAGUAGACCUCAAGCAUGGUGUGACCAGGGACUCAAAUAAUGCUAUUAAGACGCAGUCUCUCUUCUCCAUCUCAUGGCUACGUUUCCACUGUGUUGGUUUUAUUUCAGGCAGGAUUUACUUUGAGGUGGUAAGACGAUGUCAGCAAUUCUCCAUCCUAUAUCAUUCUAGGUUCUAAGUUACUUGAAGAGAAGUAUUUUCCCAUGACUCAUUAUGAUUAGAUAAGGCUCUAAUCCAUUUUGAUUUGAUUUUUGUAUAUGGUGAGAGAUAGGUAUCUAGUUUCAUUCUUCUGCAUAUGUUCUUGGCACCUUUGUUGAAAAUGAGUUAACUGUAGAUGUAUGGAUUUAUCUCCGGGUUCACUAUUCUGUUUCAUUUGUCAACAUGUCUGUUUUUAUGCCUUGCUGUUCUGAUUACUACUGUUCUGUAAUAUAAUUUUAAAAAAUUUUUUUGAGACAGGGUGUCGCUAUGUUGCCAAGGCUGGUUUCAAACUCCUGGGCUUAUGCAAUCCUCCUGCCUCGGCCUCCCAAAGUGUUGGGAUUACAGGCAUGAGCCACCAUGCCUAGCUCUGUAAUAUAAUUUUAAGUCAGGUAGAACAGAGGGGACAAGAGUGCAGGGGUUCACAUGCAGAGUCAGAAAGGGAAAGAAGAAGCAAGAAAUUCAGACUCCAUGUGUUUGAGAGAUCAAGAAAGACUAAAAGCCAGUCUGCAGCAAGCACUUUGGAGAGUGAAUCUGAGUGGAGAGUAACGUGGAGUGUCAAGAGAUGUGCAGAAAAUCCAAAGAAGUCUGAGGACAUUGUGUGCAUCAAGAAAAGAAGAACCAGAAGUCACUGGGACAGUGAUGAUACUUAACGUAGAAAUCUAAGUGGGAAAAAUAUAACAAAGUUAGUUUUGUGAUUAAAAAAAUUUUAAGUCAGGUAA